GACGAACGCUGGCGGCGUGCUUAACACAUGCAAGUCGAACGGAAAGGCCCUGCUUUUGUGGGGUGCUCGAGUGGCGAACGGGUGAGUAACACGUGAGUAACCUGCCCUUGACUUUGGGAUAACUUCAGGAAACUGGGGCUAAUACCGGAUAGGAGCUCCUGCUGCAUGGUGGGGGUUGGAAAGUUUCGGCGGUUGGGGAUGGACUCGCGGCUUAUCAGCUUGUUGGUGGGGUAGUGGCUUACCAAGGCUUUGACGGGUAGCCGGCCUGAGAGGGUGAACGGCCACAUUGGGACUGAGAUACGGCCCAGACUCCUACGGGAGGCAGCAGGGGGGAAUAUUGCACAAUGGGCGGAAGCCUGAUGCAGCGACGCCGCGUGCGGGAUGACGGCCUUCGGGUUGUAAACCGCUUUCGCCUGUGACGAAGCGUGAGUGACGGUAAUGGGUAAAGAAGCACCGGCUAACUACGUG
rnacentral:rRNA from 1 species